rnacentral:rRNA from 1 species
AUUGAACGCUGGCGGCAUGCUUUACACAUGCAAGUCGAACGGCAGCACGGGUGCUUGCACCUGGUGGCGAGUGGCGAACGGGUGAGUAAUGCAUCGGAACGAAUCCAAUAAUGGGGGAUAACGCAUCGAAAGGUGUGCUAAUACCGCAUACGCCCUGAGGGGGAAAGUGGGGGACCGUAAGGCCUCACGUUAAUGGAGCGGCCGAUGCCUGAUUAGCUAGUUGGUGAGGUAAAGGCGCACCAAGGCGACGAUCAGUAGCUGGUCUGAGAGGAGGAUCAGCCACACUGGGACUGAGACACGGCCCAGACUCCUACGGGAGGCAGCAGUGGGGAAUUUUGGACAAUGGGGGCAACCCUGAUCCAGCCAUGCCGCGUGAGUGAAGAAGGCCUUCGGGUUGUAAAGCUCUUUCGCAAGGGAAGAAAACUUAGCCAUUAAUACUGGCUGAGGAUGACGGUACCUUGAUAAGAAGCACCGGCUAACUACAUGCCAGCAGCCGCGGUAA